rnacentral:rRNA from 1 species
AUUGAACGCUGGCGGAAUGCUUAACACAUGCAAGUCGAACGGCAGUACGGACUUCGGACUGGUGGCGAGUGGCGAACGGGUGAGUAAUGUAUCGGAAGGUGCACAGGCGUGGGGGGUAACGAAGUAAAAAUUACGCUAAUACAGCAUACGAUAUAUGGAUGAAAGAGGGGGAUCGCAAGCGCUAGCGUUAUUGGAGCGGCCGGUAUUAGAUUAGGUAGUUGGUGGGGUGAAGGCCCACCAAGUCAACGAUGUGUAGCUGGUCUGAGAGGACGACCAGCCACACUGGAACUGAGACACGGUCCAGACUCCUACGGGAGGCAGCAGUGGGGAAUUUUGGACAAUGGGCGAAAGCCUGAUCCAGCCAUUCCGCGUGCAGGAUGAAGGCCCUCGGGUUGUAAACUGCUUUUGUACAGAACGAAAAGGUUUCUACUAAUAUUAGGAGCUCAUGACGGUACUGUAAGAAUAAGCACCGGCUAACUACGUGCCAGCCGCCGCAGUAA